rnacentral:rRNA from 1 species
UAGCAUAUCAAUAAGCGGAGGAAAAGAAACCAACAGGGAUUACCUCAGUAACGGCGAGUGAAGCGGUAACAGCUCAAAUUUGAAAUCUGGCUCUUUUAGGGUCCGAGUUGUAAUUUGUAGAAGAUGCUUUGGGCGUGGCUCCGGUCUAAGUUCCUUGGAACAGGACGUCAUAGAGGGUGAGAAUCCCGUAUGUGACUGGUAGCUUUCGCCCGUGUAAAGCUCUUUCGACGAGUCGAGUUGUUUGGGAAUGCAGCUCAAAAUGGGUGGUAAAUUUCAUCUAAAGCUAAAUAUUGGCCAGAGACCGAUAGCGCACAAGUAGAGUGAUCGAAAGAUGAAAAGCACUUUGGAAAGAGAGUUAAACAGUACGUGAAAUUGUUGAAAGGGAAGCGCUUGCAACCAGACUCGCAGGCCGUCGAUCAUCCGGGGUUCUCCCCGGUGCACUCGGCGGUCUUCGGGCCAGCAUCGGUUUGGGUGGUGGGAUAAAGGCCUUGGGAAUGUAGCUUCUUUCGGGGAGUGUUAUAGCCCUCGGUGCAAUGCCGCCUACCCGGACCGAGGACCGCGCUUCGGCUAGGAUGCUGGCGUAAUGGUUGUAAGCGACCCGUCUUGAAACACGGACCAAGGAGUCUAACAUCUAUGCGAGUAUUUGGGUGUUAAACCCAUAUGCGUAAUGAAAGUGAACGGAGGUGAGAACCCUUAAGGGUGCAUCAUCGACCGAUCCUGAUGUCUUCGGAUGGAUUUGAGUAAGAGCAUAGCUGUUGGGACCCGAAAGAUGGUGAACUAUGCCUAAAUAGGGUGAAGCCAGAGGAAACUCUGGUGGAGGCUCGCAGCGGUUCUGACGUGCAAAUCGAUCGUCAAAUUUGGGUAUAGGGGCGAAAGACUAAUCGAACCAUCUAGUAGCUGGUUCCU